AAGACGUUAGUAAAACAUAUUACUUAACCUUGUCAAGGCUAAAUUAUGGGUUUAAAUCCCUUACGACUUA
rnacentral:tRNA from 1 species